GACGAACGCUGGCGGCGUGCUUAACACAUGCAAGUCGAACGAAGAGCGAUGGAAGCUUGCUUCUAUCAAUCUUAGUGGCGAACGGGUGAGUAACGCGUAAUCAACCUGCCCUUCAGAGGGGGACAACAGUUGGAAACGACUGCUAAUACCGCAUACGAUCUAAUCUCGGCAUCGAGGAUAGAUGAAAGGUGGCCUCUACAUGUAAGCUAUCACUGAAGGAGGGGAUUGCGUCUGAUUAGCUAGUUGGAGGGGUAACGGCCCACCAAGGCGAUGAUCAGUAGCCGGUCGGAGGGGAUGAACGGCCACAUUGGGACUGAGACACGGCCCAGACUCCUACGGGAGGCAGCAGUGGGGAAUCUUCCGCAAUGGACGAAAGUCUGACGGAGCAACGCCGCGUGAGUGAUGACGGCCUUCGGGUUGUAAAGCUCUGUUAAUCGGGACGAAAGGCCUUCUUGCGAAUAGUGAGAAGGAUUGACGGUACCGGAAUAGAAAGCCACGGCUAACUACGUG
rnacentral:rRNA from 1 species